rnacentral:rRNA from 1 species
AUUGAACGCUGGCGGCAGGCCUAACACAUGCAAGUCGAGCGGAUGAAGGGAGCUUGCUCCUGGAUUCAGCGGCGGACGGGUGAGUAAUGCCUAGGAAUCUGCCUGGUAGUGGGGGAUAACGUCCGGAAACGGGCGCUAAUACCGCAUACGUCCUGAGGGAGAAAGUGGGGGAUCUUCGGACCUCACGCUAUCAGAUGAGCCUAGGUCGGAUUAGCUAGUUGGUGGGGUAAAGGCCUACCAAGGCGACGAUCCGUAACUGGUCUGAGAGGAUGAUCAGUCACGCUGGAAGUGGAACAAGGGCCAGACAGCUACGGGACUCAGCGUGGCGGAAUAUUCGGGAUGGGGCGGCAGCCUGGCCCGCCCGUCCCGCGAGUGUGGAGGAGGUCUUUUGAUGGUCAAGCACCUCACGGCGGGAAGACGCGCAGUACCCUGCCACCUUCCUGUUUCGACCUUACUAACAGAACAAGCACCGCCGUAAUCCCUG